AUUGAACGCUGGCGGUAUGCUUAACACAUGCAAGUCGAACGGCAGCAUGGUCUAGCUUGCUAGACUGAUGGCGAGUGGCGGACGGGUGAGUAACGCGUAGGAAUAUGCCUUGAAGAGUGGGACAACUUGGGGAAACUCAAGCUAAUACCGCAUGUACUCGAGAGAGUAAAGCUGGGGAACUUUAGGCCUGGCGCUUUAAGAUUAGCCUGCGUCCGAUUAGCUAGUUGGGAGGUUAAGGGCCUAACAAGGCGACGAUCGGUAGCUGGUCUGAGAGGAUGAUCAGCCAAACUGGAACUGAGAGACGGUCCAGACUCCUACGGGAGGCAGCAGUGGGGAAUAUUGGACAAUGGGGGGAACCCUGAUCCAGCAAUGCCGCGUGUGUGAAGAAGGCCUGAGGGUUGUAAAGCACUUUCAGUGGGGAGGAGGUUUGGAAGGUUAAGAGCUAUUCAAAUGGACGUUACCCACAGAAGAAGCACCGGCUAACUCCGUGCCAGCCGCCGCCGUAA
rnacentral:rRNA from 1 species